ensembl:miRNA
GCCGGCGGGGAAACCGUUACCAUUACUGAGUUUAGUAAUGGUAACGGUUCUGCCG